AGCUGUUUGCAGAAAACUGGGUGGUAGCAUGUCUGAACCAAAUGGAAGAAGAGCCAGCAGAGCAUGCACUGUUCCAGCUCGGGCCACAUGGCCAACUGUCGAGAGCAGCCCUGCCCAGACUGCAGUGGGGGCUGUGCCAGCAGCUCCGCAGGGCCCUUCCAACUCUGGAGUGUCUAUAGUUCUUGUGAAACCAAAACAUUGACUACCUGCCUCUUUCUUCGGGCAUCGACGUGCUCAUUUCCAAAGAUGAUGGUGCAGGUGACCUUUUCCAUCGUGAGCCAGGAGAAGGUUAGGAGGCCUGAGGGGCAGGCGUUGCGUCCCCUCCUCCCCCUCCAUAGCCCCUGAGGUGGAGCUUCCCUCACAGAUCCCAUCUGGUCGAGCCUACGGCUGCCCAGUGUACACUCAGUGAUGCUUAUACCAAAUAGGGCAUGUGUGCUGGUGUCUGUUGGGGACAGCCCCAUCCCUACCUUGGAGAAUUGCAGAGAAGCAGCAAUAAGCAUUAGGCGAAUGAUUGAAAGGACUGCUGGGCCGAGAGGCCCUCAGUCCCCUUACGUGGCUUUCCAAGUUCCUGAUGAGGCUACAAAGGCUCCACUCAUAAAAGAAAGCCAAUAGUGUAAAUAAAUUAAGAACGAAGCCUCCACACGUGAUUUUUAAGGGGGAUGAUGAAUGUGAAACCACCCACAGAAUGCGUUAGAGUCUGGUUUUUCUGUGCUUUGUCAUUUUACUCUGAUAGGAACUUUUGUUACCUAACUCUGUGCAUAACUUAUUUAAUGUACUGUAUAAAUGAACCAAAACUGUUAAAUAUGUAUUUAGUUUGUUCUACUUAAAGUAGUCAAUAAAAAGGCUAUAUUCCU